UACGUAGGGAGCAAGCGUUGUUCGGAUUUACUGGGCGUAAAGGGCGCGUAGGCGGCGCGGUAAGUCACUUGUGAAAUCUCUGAGCUUAACUCAGAACGGCCAAGUGAUACUGCAGUGCUAGAGUGCAGAAAGGGCAAUCGGAAUUCUUGGUGUAGCGGUGAAAUGCGUAGAUAUCGAGAGGAACACCUGCGGCGAAGGCGGGUUGCUGGGCUGACACUGACGCUGAGGCGCGAAAGCUAGGGGAGCAAACGGG
rnacentral:rRNA from 1 species